rnacentral:tRNA from 1 species
GCCUGAGUGAUGGAAUGGUAGACGUGUCGGACUCAAAAUCCGAUGGUGGCGACACCGUGUGGGUUCAAGUCCCACCUCAGGCACCA